rnacentral:rRNA from 1 species
AGUGAUCGCUGGCGGUAGGCCUAACACAUGCAAGUCGAACGGCAGCACAGUAAGAGCUUGCUCUUACGGGUGGCGAGUGGCGGACGGGUGAGGAAUACAUCGGAAUCUACUUUUUCGUGGGGGAUAACGUAGGGAAACUUACGCUAAUACCGCAUACGACCUACGGGUGAAAGCAGGGGAUCUUCGGACCUUGCGCGAUUGAAUGAGCCGAUGUCGGAUUAGCUAGUUGGCGGGGUAAAGGCCCACCAAGGCGACGAUCCGUAGCUGGUCUGAGAGGAUGAUCAGCAACACUGGAACUGAGACACGGUCCAGACUCCUACGGGAGGCAGCAGUGGGGAAUAUUGGACAAUGGGCGCAAGCCUGAUCCAGCCAUACCGCGUGGGUGAAGAAGGCCUUCGGGUUGUAAAGCCCUUUUGUUGGGAAAGAAAAGCAGCAGGUUAAUACCCCGCUGUUCUGACGGUACCCAAAGAAUAAGCACCGGCUAACUUCGUG